rnacentral:rRNA from 1 species
GAAUAUUGGACAAUGGGCGAAAGCCUGAUCCAGCCAUGCCGCGUGUGUGAAGAAGGCCUUUUGGUUGUAAAGCACUUUGGGCGAGGAGGAGGCUACUUGGAUUAAUACUCUAGGAUAGUGGACGUUACUCGCCGAAUAAGCACCGGCUAACUCUGUGCCAGCAGCCGCGGUAAUACAGAGGGUGCGAGCGUUAAUCGGAUUUACUGGGCGUAAAGCGUGCGUAGGCGGCUUUUUAAGUCGGAUGUGGAAUCCCUGAGCUUAACUUAGGAAUUGCAUUCGAUACUGGGAAGCUAGAGUAUGGGAGAGGGGGGUGGAAUUCCGCGUGUAGCAGUGAAAUGCGUAGAUAUGCGGAGGAACACCGAUGGCGAAGGCAGCCAUCUGGCCUAAUACUGACGCUGAGGUACGAAAGCAUGGGGAGCAAAC